rfam:Rattus norvegicus chromosome 1, whole genome shotgun sequence.
UCCAAGAGUGGUAACGCCCUGAAUGUGCCUGAUCUCAUCUGAUCACAGAAGCUAAGCAGGGUCAGGUCUGUUUAGUACUUGGAUGGGACACAUACAAAUUAAUAAGUGCAAUUUUAA